GAAAGAUGUUCAAGUGUGAGUUUAGUGAUGGAGGAGCUUCUUUUCAACUUGGGUAUUCAGGUGUGCUGAUGGUUAAGAAAUCAUGUAAGAUGUGGUCCCUGCUCUCACAGUCUCACAGGAUAGCUGCUCUUAUGUCUGAAGGCACAAGGCCAUCACCCCAAGUACGUGCAUACCUGCUGAAUGUGCAGAUGUACUUCCUUGUAUAGAGCUCCAGAGCUUGCGUUUUAAACAAGGACUCUUGUGAUUCUGAUGCUGAUGUUUCAGGUAAGAACUACUGUUUUUUGAGGAGGGCAUUAUUUAUUUACAUUUUCUGAGACAGAGUUCACUAUGUAGUCCAGGCUGUCCUUGAACUUGCUGUGUAGCCCAUGCUGGCCUUGAAUUCAGGAUCCUCCUCCCUCAGCCUCCUGGAUGCUGGGAUUACAGUUUUUCUGCUGAUGCCUGUGAAGAGCUGAAUGGGGACCACUAUGUACUACUCAGUACAGCAUCUGUGAAGAAUGGGAGCUGACCUCAUGCAUAGAGCUACUUGGAGGCUGAGGUCUGACUGCUAGAUUCAACCACAUGGUUUUUACAGUGCUCACUUGCUGUGUGUCCUGGGGUUACAGAGGCACGUGAAACAUGACCCCUGCCUUGAUGGAUGAAGCAUGUGUGAACAAAGAGGCACAAAGAGCCCCAAGUCCAGUUUCACACAUUGGUGAAGAGCUGGGUCUUCGUGUGGAGCUGGAAAGGAGGAAGGAGGUUCUGCAGUCUCACAUCUGAGGCCUAUAGGAGAGUUUAUCAAAUAAUCUGGCCCAAGAAUUGCUCCUCUGUGGAAGACUACUUUCUGUGACCAUGGCAGACAUCAUGCACUAUCCUGAGACUCUUCUGAGCCAGAGGAAGUUUAAAAUCUUUUUGAACGAAGCGAACCAGGAGCCACUGCUAGAUUCUGGCUAUCUGAAUCCUUUUCUUACCCCUCUUGGAUAUUUCAUGCCUCAAAAAUCUCAGGUUCUUCUAGCUUUCCCCGACAGUGGGCUAGACUAUCUGGAUCUGAUUACCCAUUGAGGAAAAAAUCUACAGGUCCUCUUAAAGGCAUUAAUAGAUAACAAGAUAGUAUAAAAUUACCAGAAAAAUUAAUUAAGGGAAAACAUGCGAGGGAAAGACUUUUUGCCAUAAGGGCAUUGGCCAAUUUGGGGAACUUCAAACUUUUGGUUUUGAAAUUCUUAUAAACAAAG
rnacentral:lncRNA from 1 species